UAAAAAAUUCUAAAAUAAAAAUAUAUACUUAUUUAAUUGUUUACAUUUGAUGACGUAAGGAAACUUUUUGAGGAUGGCUUAUUUUGAACUUUGAUUUUCCUGGACUCUGGUCCUGGAAACAGAUGUAAUUACGCAUAUCAAACACGCGCUGCCAUAAUACGAGCAAUUACAAAGCACAUAUUAGAGACAACUUGAUUUGUAUUCUAUUAGAAAAUUUCAUAGAAUAGAUCGAUCUGAUUCAAGUUACAUUCAUACAGUAAAUUUGCUAUAUGUAUAGCGGCUUUCUGAGGUGACCUGCCUAAUUGUCGAAAUCAGUCAAUCGCCACUGAUGCAGAAAUUUUAGCUACGAACAGUUUUCGCUCAUUUGAAAAUUCUUUAACUUAAGUUUCACACUUGCGACUUUAAAAAUUCACUAUGCUAAAUGAAAAAUUCUGUAAAAUCACACUAUAAGUACUCAAUACCGCGGAGACAUUAGAAUGAAUCAUAAAAAAUGAUUUUAUAUACAAAAUUCUAUAAGCGCAGUCGUAAUGACGAAGGAAAUUACUGUAUUAAAGUGUUAUAAGAACGGAAAAAUACAUUAAUUGUCAUGAUUUCUCCACAAAAACUGAAAGACGGCUGUAACAGUAAAAUCUAUAAUCAAUAAAUUGAAGCUACAUUAAAUAUAAUAUGUACUUUUAGUAUUUACGUGAUCGCAAUAAUCAAAUAUCAAUGGUAUCAAGCUUAUUAUAGUAAUAACUAUUAUGAGUGCAAUACGAAUAAUCAAAUUUUUUGUUUGACACGUAGAUCAUCUAUAUAACGUAUAACUCACUAGGAUCAACAAUAAAAUAAGACAUAAAAACUCUAUUAAUAAAGUUGGGCUCCAAGUCAUAAUUUUCUUCCUGACAAGUAUAGUAUUAUAAUAUUUACUACACAUACGUAAAUUAAAUUUGUUAAAUCAUGAUUUUAAACAUAC